rnacentral:rRNA from 1 species
AUUGAACGCUGGCGGCAGGCCUAACACAUGCAAGUCGAGCGGAGCGGCGGACGGGUGAGUAAUGCCUAGGAAUCUGCCUGGUAGUGGGGGAUAACGUCCGGAAAUGGGCGCUAAUACCGCAUCCUCUCAGAUGAGCCUAGGUCGGAUUAGCUUGUUGGUGGGGUAAAGGCCAACCAAGGCGACGACCCGUAACUGGUCUGAGAGGAUGAUCAGCCACACUGGAACUGAGACACGGUCCAGACUCCUACGGGAGGCAGCAGUGGGGAAUAUUGGACAAUGGGCGAAAGCCUGAUCCAGCCAUGCCGCGUGUAUGAAGAAGGUCUUCGGGUUGUAAAGCACUUUAAGUUGGGAGGCGUUACCAACAGAAUAAGCACCGGCUAACUUCGUGCCAGCAGCCGCGGUAAUUC